rnacentral:rRNA from 1 species
AACGAACGCUGGCGGCAUGCCUAACACAUGCAAGUCGAACGAGACCUUCGGGUCUAGUGGCGCACGGGUGCGUAACGCGUGGGAACCUUCCCUUAGGUUCGGAAUAACUCCCCGAAAGGGGUGCUAAUACCGGAUAUUUUCUUCGGACCAAAGAUUUAUCGCCUUUGGAUGGGCCCGCGUUGGAUUAGCUAGUUGGUAGGGUAAAAGCCUACCAAGGCGACGAUCCAUAGCUGGUCUGAGAGGAUGAUCAGCCACACUGGGACUGAGACACGGCCCAGAAUCAUACGGGAGGCAGCAGUGGGGAAUAGUGGAAAAUGGGCGAAAGCCUGAUACAGCAAUGCCGCGUGAGUGAUGAAGGCCUUAGGGUUGUAAAGCUCUUUUACCCGGGAUGAUAAUGACAGUACCGGGAGAAUAAGCGCCGGCUAACUCCGUG